GGAUAAACANNUUCGGAAGACUUCUUAGAGGGACAAGCGGUGUUCAGCCGCAUGAAGCUGAGCAAUAACAGGUCUGUGAUGCCCUUAGAUGUCCAGGGCUGCACGCGCGCUACACUGGAGGAAUCAGCGUGCUGUAACCAUUGCCGAAAGGUAUUGGUAACCCCUUGAAAAUCCUCCGUGAUCGGGAUCGGGAAUUGCAAUUAUUUCCCUUGAACGAGGAAUUCCUAGUAAGUGUGAGUCAUCAGCUCACGUUGAUUACGUCCCUGCCCUUUGUACACACCGCCCGUCGCUGCCCGGGACUGAGCCGUUUCGAGAAAAGCGGGGACUGCUGUUUUCGAGACCUUUCGGGGUGGAGAUUCUUUGGUGGAAACCGCCUUAAUCGCAGUGGCUUGAACCGGGCAAAGUCGUAACAAGGUUUCCGUAGGUGAACCUGCGGAAGGAUCAUUAUCGAGCGAAUCCAAAACGAACAAGUCUCCCAACGUGCAUACCGUCCAUUUGCAUGUUGUUGUGAGCCGCAUGGAAACUCAUACACAUGUGGUGGCAGCCGUCUGCUGUGCUUUAUUGUGCAGACAAUGGCUUAUGAGUGGCCGUGUGCCUGUUGAACAACGGUGACCAAUUUGGCGUCUACGCCGUAUCUAGCUUCUGCCUGGACCGUCAGUAGCGAUGAAAGAUGCGGAGAAAGUUCCUCUGUUUUGACUCAUUCGUGGGCCAACACAGGGUCGAGCAGACUUAAUGAGCCACGCUUGGUGGCCGCCAAAACCCAAAACACAACCAGUCUAUUUGACAUUGUUCAGUAUGCGUUGACAUUACGUUAAUGUACAAAUCUUGGCGGUGGAUCACUCGGUUCGUGGAUCGAUGAAGAACGCAGCCAGCUGCGAUAAAUAGUGCGAAUUGCAGACACAUUGAGCACUAAGAAUUCGAACGCACAUUGCGCCAUCGGGUUCAUUCCCGAUGGCACGUCUGGCUGAGGGUCGAAUUAUGGCAAACUAUCUUCGUGGCUCCGGCCGUGAAGCAUUCGGCAAGCAGUUGUCGUGUUGUUGGUUGGUCGGUCUUUGAAUCGGUCGAUUGGCGGCUCGACGGCUCCUUGCUUAGUUGUUGUGUGAGGAGACGUCAACACCGAACGACGGUGAUAUUGGUGAUCGCAAAAGCGAAAAGUAUGCCACUUCAUAGGGGCAACAACCAGCAUACGUGUGUUGGCUGGUUGAUGAACUGUUGGCAACGGAGUGACGGUGUGAUCAGGAACGUUUGUAUUUGACCUCAGCUCAGUCGUGAUUACCCGCUGAAUUUAAGCAUAUAAUUA
rnacentral:sRNA from 1 species